rnacentral:rRNA from 1 species
UUGGAGGGCAAGUCUGGUGCCAGCAGCCGCGGUAGUUCCAGCUCCAAUAGCGUAUAUUAAAGUUGUUGCAGUUAAAAAGCACGUAGUUGAAUUUCGGGGUUAGUAGGUUGGUCAUGCCACUGGUAUGUACUGGUCUCACUGAUUCCUCCUUCCUGAUGAGCCGUAAUGCCAUUAAUUUGGUGUUGCGAGGAAUCUGGACUGUUACUUUGAAAAAAUUAGAGUGUUUAAAGCAAGCUAACGCUUGAAUACAUAGCAUGGAAUAAUGAAAUAGGACGUUCGAUCCUAUUUUGUUGGUUUCUAGGAUUGACGUAAUGAUUAAUAGGGAUAGUUGGGGGCAUUAGUAUUCAAUUGUCAGAGGUGAAAUUCUUGAAUUUAUUGAAGACUAACUACUGCGAAAGCAUUUGCCAAGGAUGUUUUCAUUAAUCAAGAACGAAAGUUAGGGGAUCGAAGACGAUCAGAUACCGUCGUAGUCUUAACCAUAAACUAUGCCGACUAGGGAUCGGAUGAUGUUAAUUUUUUAAUGACUCAUUCGGCGCCUUACGGGAAACCAAAGUGUUUGGGUUC